rfam:Strongyloides papillosus strain LIN genome assembly, scaffold: SPAL_contig0003317
UUUUAUGCUCAUAUUCGGCUGAAAUACACCGAAUUCCGUCCGGUCUCUAAAGUAAAUUAGUCGGAAGACAUUUUAAUACUUGUAUGGGAAACUUUCUGGAAACUGUUAGUGAUGUAAGCC